UACCCAUGUCCAACCCUCAUGCACAUGCACAUUGCCCAGCCGCCCCUACGCCAUGCAUUGCCCAGCCGCUACACAGCCCUUGCGCAUUUCCCAGCUGCUGUGGGAGAUUCACUCUGCCCCUGCACAUCAUAUGUUCCAGCCUUUAUCCAUUGCCAGAAACAUUUGCUGUUGCCUUGUGCAUCACCCUGCAAGUAAUGAAUGUACUACUUCUGGUAUGUCAAAUUCCAGUUCUCUAUUCUUAGUAGAUCAAAUCCACUGAAUCAUUGUCAUCAUCCUGAAAUGUCCUGACCUGUUACGAAUCUCUCUCUCUCUCUCUCUCUCUCUCUCUCUCACACACACACACACACACACACACACACACACACACACAAGCUGUAUUAAUUCAUUCUGUUGUAUUGCAUAAAUGCCUCCUGAAAUAUCUCUUCUUUCUGGUAGUGUAGUGAUAUCCAUCUGUAACCUCGAGUGGGAGAUGUAUUCCAUGUUUCUACCUUUGUGGUGGUAACUUUUGACAGGAAGAAAUAGAUACACAAUUAAAAUUGUCUAAGAAUUGAUCUCUUGUUCCCCUUAUAAAUGAUAAUUAGUAGAUUAAGAUAUGGCAAUCAUCUGUGGCAAAUGUGGCAAAUUGACCCAACGGUUGCUUGGAUGCUCACACUCCUCCAAAUCUGCUCUGUUUUAUGGGUCUUUUAGCUUAAAUUGGUGAUUGGACCAGGCUUCUAGAAUGUAAGCCGAGGAGGACAGAAAUAAAUAAAUAAAAGGAUUGCCAUUAGGUACACCAUCUGAAGCAAGUUUGUCUUAAGUUCUCAUGCUUUGUAAAUGCUGAACUUUUUUUUAUGGGUCUUUAAUUCAAAUUGGUAGAGCACUUGGAACAUGACCAUGCCUCAAGCAUGUUCCAAGGGGAUGGUGGUUCGAAUCCACCAAGACCCUUUUGAUUAAACUGUUCAUACCAAAGUCAGUACGGCAAUCAUGGAAAAGUAAAUCCAAGUGAAAAUUGUAUUGUAGAUAAUACCAUAGAAAUGAAACUCACAAAAAGUCUGAAUGUAUAAAAAAGGGAUUAGAUAAAAAUUACUAUUAUUCAUCCAAUAUUGGUUUUGAAGUCAGAAAAAUAACAGCUAUAAAGGACUAAAUUAGAUAAAAAUAAUUAUUUACAAGUUAUUAGUUAUAGAUGGUUUCUCAUUUUCUUCCAAGAAAUCAAUUGUAUUAAAGAUGGUAAUUCGUUUUUUAGGAAAGAUAAAAUUUAAGAAGAUAACAAGUGGCAAGUAUUUAGGUUCAAUAUUACUGUAAUUAAUCAGGACAUUGUAGUUAAUUGUCAUCUUAAUCUUUGAAUGCCCCUUAAUUCCUACUUCGAGGAAACCUCUAUAGGGUACGUUUAUGCCUAUUAUGGAAAAACAUGUAGUGGGCACUGGCUCAUUUGGUUUUGUCUUUCAUUGUUCCUCUGUUUUGACAUUUUGAUUUGCUUGGUCUGGGCAAAGUACCUGGAAACAGGCGACCAUUGUAAUUCACCUCGCUUACCCUAUAUUGAAUACAAAAUUGGAAUUUAACAGAUUCAAAUUCGUAUUCUUCAUUUCAGUUUGUGUGCUGCAAUUGCCAUAAAGUAGUUUCUGAAGUCCAAAGUUACAAAAAACAUAGAACUCCAAAUCAUGUGGUGGAUUCACCAUCUUACUGUAUAGUUCAGCUGAAGCAUUGUUUCUCUUCUACUACUGGAAAGUGAUGAAUUGUACUUUAACCUCAUCCUAGAGAAGUGUCUAAGAUGGUUUACAAGUUUCAAAGCACUUACUUGGAUGAAUCAACAUGUUUGGCAGCUUCAUGCUUACCAAGUGAGAAUUGAUAAUGUUGUUAAAUAAUAUUUUUUUGGUUGUGAGACCAAUUUAUUGUACAACGAUUUUACUAUAGCAUAUUGUUCUCUUUUACUUUAUACUUUGGUCUAAUGUCAUUGGUGUGCUUUUUUGUUUUGUACUCCUGUGGUGCACGUUAUUGCAUUUAUAGCAUUAUUGGUGCGUGUCAUCUAAACCAAGGUUUUGAAAUUCUCACUAACGUCUUCGUGUUCUAGGGAAGAUGGCGGCUUAGAUUGGCGGUGCCUCCCCCCACCCCCAAAAAAAAAAAAAAAAAAAAAAAAAAAAAUCCUUUUUUCUAUUGUUUCAAGCUCCAAAGUUAGGAAAUACUUUUGAUUUGAAAUUUGAAAUAUUCCGCUUUAUAUGGCUUGAUUCUAGAAAGAGAACCAUUCUAUCUAACUGAAGUUUUAAUUUCUGUUUCAUGUUCCUUGAUCUUUGCGGCCACCGUAUGCAUGGCUGCAUGCCAGCGUGCGCCAUGGUGUGCUGCUGUGGCCUGCCAUGGCACACGAAAAAAAGCUAAAUGGCACAUCGGUUUUGAUGACUAGGCCCUUGGUGUGCGCUGUGGCCUGCCAUGGCGUGCUGCUGGGUGUGCAUGGCUGCCUGCCAUGGGCUGCCACACCCCCACAGCCGCUGCCACAUGUGCCCGUAGCAGCACAUCAUGCCUAACAAAGGCAUUGCAAGUGAAAACAAGUACAUGGCGCGGCCGUCCCAAUGAUCAGUCGCUCUGCCGCACACCGCUGCCUACCACCGUGUGCUGCUGGGCGCGCAUGGCUGCCUGCCAUGUGCAGCCGUGCCCCCACACAGCUGUGGCCUGCACCAAUGCAUGCACUGGCCUGCGACCAUGCGCGCGCUGGCCUGCAAGCCAUGCUUGCGCUGGCCUGGCUUUUGAAAGUAAAGCAGAAUUGCUCUUGUCGACUCUGGUAAUCCGCAGGUUUGUUGUAGUUAUUAGCAUUACUUGGUGUCUUUCGGUUUUACGAUGAAUCAUAGACAGAUUUUGAAAGUUUUAGUUCCUUUGUUUGGUUGGGUUUGGACUCAGGUUUUUUAGAGGUUUCUUUUGUGGAUUUUGGGAACUGGGGUGUGGUUAAGAUUCUGUCACUAUGGCGAUCAAGGCCUCUCCAGGAAGCUCUGGUUACUUGGAUUCAGUCCAAGAGGGCAAGGUUUCGUAUUUCAGCAACCGUUAUUUACUCGGAUUGACUCUCACUGCUGGUAUUGGGGGCUUGUUGUUUGGAUAUCAUACAGGUAAUAAAUUUUCUUAUGUGUGCUUAGUUCAUUGCAGGUACUGAUAUUAUUCUAUGGUGUAUGAUUGAUUUUUUUGCUGUUACUUCUAGAAUUCAAAUUUGAUGAAUUUACAUGUGAAGUUAUUAACUACAAAAUCAUAUUUCUUUGGUAAUGAAGUUAGUCCAAUUUUUAAGGAAAGACGAGAGUGUACAAACCAGUAUGGGAUUAGAGGAGCACACUGGACCUGGGGAUUAUAGAAACUAAGAAAACAGUGUUGGUCUUCAGUUGAAGGAUUCAAUGGUCUCUCAUUUUAUUUUCAAUAACUAUCACGAAAUCGAUUUAGGAAUGUCAUUGUAGUCUUUCAUUUAUUUAUUUUCUUUGGUAGGAGAUAGCUAUAGGGAGAUGGUAGUUUCCUAGUUGGUUUUAGUUUCCUAUUUGGAGGUGCUUUCUAAGUUUUAGUUUCUUCUAUAUAUGCUGUAACCAUAAUAGAGUUUUCAGAUCAUAGAGAAGGAGUUGCAAGUUUUGGUUGAAGCCUGCGUGGCUGUGUGUGUGAACUUCUCCCCUGCAAUCUCUCCCAUGCUCUCUCCCUCCCCCAGCGAGACCUCCCUUCUUCUUCUGCUUCCCUCUUAUUUUUUUGUCUUUACUGAGUUGCUUAAACCCAUACCCAACGCCCUGUCCAGCGAUAACAGUUAUUCACAACUGGGCAUUGGUCCUCCUCACCCUGUUUCCCUUUGUAAUCCGACAUUAAUUGCGAGUCCUCCUACCCCAUGUUCCCUAGUUCUGAACUUAACCUCAUUAAGCAUAUUUCCUAUUGUAAGUUUCAUUUCCUUCGAGAACACCUCACACCUCAAGAAAAGGAGAUAAGCAUGUCAUAAAUAUGAAGAAACCAGUCAACAUUCAAAACAACCUCAAGAAAAGGAGAUACACAAGGGGAAACGAGGCCCAGACUCUGCAUUACUCUCAUUCCUCGUUCACCUAAAUGCUGAGAUUUUCCUGAUGCGCUCAAUACCUAAUUACAUUUCAAUUUAUAGAUCAAUAUGUUCAAGAAAGCACACUGGAGGAUACCUGUAGGAAACAGACAAUUUAUAAACCGAAAAAAAAAAAAAAAAAAAAAGAUAAACAAAAGCAACAACAAAAAGAUAUGGGGUUUACCGAGUUUGGGCUGUCUGCUCUCAGUUUCUUCUGACCUUGAACUUGCUUUUGAGUGUCAAUUUCUGAAGCUCCCUCCCCUGCUUUUUCAAGGCCAUGCGCUCUGGAGUUCAUGUAAGUUUGCAUUACUAAUAAAUGCUGGAUUUCCUCCAGAGAAGAAUUUGCAGGAUGAAUUAAUGUUUGUGAAGCCUAUAUAAUGUAAUUUGUGAACUGUGACAUUGUGAGAGCCUGCAAUUAUUCAAUUUGGUUUUGGUAUUUCUACCUGAUUACCAAUCAAUGUUAUACAACUUUUGUCUGUGUAAACCUCCUAGUACCUGUUUGAAUAUAUUCACAUAUUCAGGUGUACGAAUUAGACUGUUCUAUUCAUAUAGCAUAUUGAUUUUUCAAACAUAUUAUAAGAUUGGUACAUAUAUGGAGUUUAAAUUUCUAAUUAUGUAUGAGUGUGGGAAUUCAUGAACUGAAUCGCUUUUCUCUGAAACUUUGUUACCAUGAGAUCAAAUCUUAACUAAUCUACAUUCUCCAGUUUAGAAGUUCGUGUAGAUUAUAUAUAUAUAUAUAUAUAUAUAUAAUAUUUUUUACUUUAAUGGAAUUUUUGCAAUUAUCUGCUUUGAAAUUAUUUGUCGCUUCUAAACUGUCAAGGCUUUCACUCUUAGAGACAAGAUUCCUUUGGGUAAAUUUGAAUAUUGAAUCCAAUCUUCUGCUACUUCCUAAUUAUUCUUUUGUUUUCCUUCUUGUUUUAACUGGUUUUUUCUCCCGAGAAGAUUAGGUGGAUCUAAGGAUUUUUUAUCCCUUCGUUGAAAUGAACGCAUGUUGGCUAUUCAUCUCGGGAUUUUAAGUUGGUAACUUCGUGUUCUGUUGGUCUGGAAAUGGUUAUCUCGAUUUGGCAGGAAUCAUUCAGUCAGAAAUAUGGGGAUCGUGUUGAUCUGGCUGUCAGAAUGACUUGAAUGCCUUCAGAUGAUAGACGUGAAGCAUUUAUUAAUAGGGUUUAGAGAUUUUUAUUUGACUUGGCAUAUUCAGUUCUUCCCUCCCCCAAACUUAAACAUUAGUCCUUCAAUCUUAGUUUUUAGUUCAAGAUUAUUGGGGAAUUUCGAUUUCUUAACCAGUUUAUUGUUAAAUUUGUUAGCAUCAGUUUUGUUGAAUGGGCUUCUUGUGUAGAUACAGGCUUUGUUGGAUGAUUGUGGCUAUAAACUGAGAAAUGAGUCGACAACCUCCCAUCAAUAAUAGGCCUUCCCAAGCCAUAUCUCUCUUCUAAAACAACAACAAAGCCUUAUCCCAACUAAUGGGGUCGGCUACAUGGAUCCGCGAUAGACAAGAGACUAGAUGGUUCCAAAGGUCAUGUAUCUUCACUCUGCUACAUUUUCCUAAUAUGCUGAAGAAAGGUGAUCUUCACAAGAUCCACUCUGAACUCCUGACAUGCCUUCCAUCCAUGCGCAAUAUGGUAGAUUUGUGUAGAUUAUGGGAUAAUCUAAAGGCGUAAUGGAUUUUCCUCGCUUUCGGGCUGUGACAUUGUGGAGCUCAAUAACUGUUGGCCUGAGUGAUUCUCCAAUAGCCAUCACACCGAUGUUUGUGUUCUAGGAAUAUCAUUUUACUUGGAAUUUUCUGCUUCAUAAUAGUUAUUUUUUGUAUUUAGUUAUUUUAUUAUUAUUACCAUUGUUUGAAGACAGAUGAGUUGAAAAGGAUAUGUCGUUGACUUGUUCCACAUAUGUUGCAUGCUAUCAAUGGUGAUGUAUUCAUGAAUCAGAUCUGGUCACUUAGUCAAGUCGGCUUUUGACCGAUCGUUGCAUCAUUAAGUGGUGUGUUGGAAGUAUUACAACAUCAAGUACAUGCAUGUUCUUAGGAAGCAGUGGGGGGUGAUUAUUUAUCAGACCAGGAUAGGGUUUAAGAGGCUUUCCCAGCCUGAACUUGUUCGAUUCAGCACUAAAAUCUCUUGACAAAGUACAUUUAAAUGCAUGUCUUUAACCUCAGGAUAAUGGGUUUUGAUUGUAGGAUAAUUGGUCGUUACUUUGGUAAUGUGAAACAUCAUCCUUAUCUGUUUACAGUAUUUUUUAUGAACAGGUCUAGAGCUCCAUCCAUGGGCUUGCCUUUGCUGGAGCAUAUAUUUCCUUAUGUCUAGAACUAUGAUGCCUCUUAAUUCGGUUCCAUCAUCCAGCCAGCCAAAAUCUAUGCGUCCGUGCAAAAACUACUUUGUGGAAGCAGUAUCUAUAGCAAUCCCAUGGUCUGGUGGGGAAAUGGAGCAUUUGAAGUUAGCUUGCUACAGUCCAUUGCUUCAAUUUCAACCUUGACUUAUAUUUGGAUUGUACUAGUGAUAUGACCCACGCUAACAAAGCCUUCUCCUCAAACACUGCCUACAACCUGCUCUCAACAUUAUAAUACAAUAUGGUUGGAACCUCUUCAACUAUUUUCUAUUCAAUAAUUUCAAUAAAUUUGAUUGUGGCUUCUGUUUCUUGUA